rnacentral:rRNA from 1 species
AACGAACGCUGGCGGCAUGCCUAACACAUGCAAGUCGAACGAGACCUUCGGGUCUAGUGGCGCACGGGUGCGUAACGCGUGGGAAUCUGCCCUUCGGUUGGGAAUAACUGAGAGAAAUUUCAGCUAAUACCUUAUAAUGUCUUCGGACCAAAGAUUUAUCGCCGAGGGAUGAGCCCGCGUAGGAUUAGGUAGUUGGUGGGGUAAUGGCCUACCAAGCCGACGAUCCUUAGCUGGUCUGAGAGGCUGAUCAGCCACACUGGGACUGAGACACGGCCCAGACUCCUACGGGAGGCAGCAGUGGGGAAUAUUGGACAAUGGGCGAAAGCAUGAUCCAGCUAUGCCGCGUGAGUGAUGAAGGCCUUAGGGAUGUAAAGCGCUUUUACCCGGGAUGAUAAUGACAGUACCGGGAGAAAAAGCUCCGGCUAACUCCGUG